rnacentral:lncRNA from 1 species
CAGCGUGCUUUGCAGGACAAAGAAUCUGGUGCUUUGGGCUCCGACAGUGGCGGCUCCCUAGUGUGGGGUGGCAGGAGCUGCAGCGGGAGUACUGGAGGCACAGCAGCUGCUCUCUGCCUUCCCAGCACCAAGGCCUUGGCGAGGCCCUCUAUCUGCUGCUGGUGAAGAGUGGGGGCGCCAAGAGCGCUGAGGAGUCCCAAUGUGAGAGUGAAGAUGGCAUGGAAGGUGAUGCUGUUCUCUCCGACUGUGAAAGUGCAGAAGACUCAGAAGCUGAAGAAGGGGAAUACAGCGAAGAAGAGAACUCCAAAGUGGAACUGAAAUCAGAAGGUAAUGAUGCUGCAAAUUCUUCAGCAAAAGAAGAGAAGGGAGAAGAAAAGCCUGACACCAAAGGCACCAUAUUGGAGAGACACAAAGUGGGGAUGGACAGGAGAGCACAGAGCCUGUGGAGAACAAAGUGGGUAAAAAGGGCCCUAAGCAUUUGGAUGAUAAUGAAGAUGGGAAGAAUCCAGCAUACACUUUGGAAAGGGCUCUUUUGUGAGCACUAUCUUUGAGGGCAAACUCAGGAGGAGGAAAUCAGACCCAAG